UACGUAGGGGGCGAGCGUUGUCCGGAUUUAUUGGGCGUAGAGAGCGUGUAGGCGGCCCGGUAAGUCCGCUGUGAAAGUCGGGGGCUCAACCCUCGAAUGCCGGUGGAUACUGUCGGGCUAGAGUGCGGAAGAGGCGAGUGGAAUUCCUGGUGUAGCGGUGAAAUGCGCAGAUAUCAGGAGGAACACCGAUUGCGAAGGCAGCUCGCUGGGACGUUACUGACGCUGAGACGCGAAAGCGUGGGGAGCAAACAGG
rnacentral:rRNA from 1 species